rnacentral:rRNA from 1 species
UACGAAGGGGGCUAGCGUUGUUCGGAAUCACUGGGCGUAAAGGGUGCGUAGGCGGGAUGUUAAGUCAGGGGUGAAAUCCCGAGGCUCAACCUCGGAACUGCCUUUGAUACUGGGGUCCUUGAGUCCGGAAGAGGUGAGUGGAACUGCGAGUGUAGAGGUGAAAUGCGUAGAUAUUCGCAAGAACACCGGUGGCGAAGGCGGCUCACUGGUCCGGAACUGACGCUGAGGCACGACAGCGUGGGGAGCAAACAGG